CUGGUUGAGGGAGAGACAUCCACCUCAACUGAACAGUAUAUCCUUCAUGCUUGGCUGGGACUCCAGAUCAUCUGAGGUUGCUCCUAGCCCCAGUUCACAUGGUGUCCCUUAGAGCUGGAGGGUCCAGAAGCCCCUUCAGCUCUGAGUCCCCCUGGGAGAUUUGGUGGGCCAGCAGCAUCUGGAACACCUGGGCCAGAACCCAGACUUCAUCCCCCAGCAAAUGGCCUUGGAGAGAGCUGCCCUGUGUCCAGAAGAGCCCUUGGACGCCUCUGGUUCACUCAGCACUUUACAAGCCUAUUUUAUGAUUAUACAGAGGAGGUGACACCUAAGCCUUGCCUAAAGUAGGAGGAAGGACAUUCCAGACCAGGCAGUGUGGGAGGGCACAGAUAAUAUGACUGGACAUGCGGAUGAGUUGGUCCAUGCUGGCUACGUUGGGUGAGGUGUAAGUGGCCAGCAGUGGCUGAGGUUGGCCAUCUAGAAAGGAGUCUGUCCUCAGAUACGAAUGGGGCAGUAAGGAGACUACUGCCUCACUGCUCCUUCCCCAGGAUUGGGGUUUUCCUUAAAGUGUCUGUUAGGAAUGUGGGUUUGAGGCUCAGCCCCACCUGUAUUGAAUCGGAUUAGUCACAGUAAGUUUUAAGAACCAAUACCCUCCCUAUCUUGGUGACUCCUCUCUGGAGAGCCUGUUAAAAUGUAACUACCCGCUGGAGGAGGAGGAGAAACAAACUGGUUGGUAUCCAGUAGGACCAGGGCCUGGAAAGCUUGGUGUCCCAGAGGCAGGGAACACUGGGAAGCCAGAGGGUUCAGGGAGGCUUGGGUAGUUGCCUGAGUGGAGAGUCCUGGGACCACGAUUGGGACCGCAGCAGGAAGCUGCCUGCACCUCUUCCCUCUGCUAAGGCACACAGGGCGUGUGCACAGGUGCACUGCAGCCAGCAGCCCUCUGGGCAGGUCUCUCUGCUUCUGGACCUUGACUUUUUUCCUGGGAAAAAUGAAAACCAGGCCCCACCCCAGUUUGCUGGUAUGUGUGUGCUGAAGAGAAGGAAUGAAAACCACUACUUUAAGAGAAUAUGGUGACUGCAGCAUGGUCUUUCACAGCUAAACAUUUGUGUUUUCUUCACUAUUGUAAGGUUGGAGUUUUGUUUUUUAGGCUCAGAAUUAAUAUUUUAUUCUAAAAACAUUCUCAGUGAGUAAAUAAGGGGGAUAUGUGUGUAUAUACAUUGAUUCCUUUGUUUAAUUUUUAUUGGUCCCACUCUUAGAGUGGGAAUCUAUUGCAAGUUUAAAGGGUGCUUCCUUAAAAAUACAUUUGCUCCUGUUGCUUAUACUUUACACAGAAAUUGGUUAACUUUCCAUCUUGACCUUUAGUUUUAAAAAAUAUUUCCCAAUGGUGCCUACACACUUAAAAUAGAACCAAAAUUUCAUGCAACAACACCCACCUGUCAGAUGCAUACUGUACAUUCUGAUGCUGUUUUUUCAAUCUUAUUUCAACGUUUUAAAAUCUUGAUCACAAUCCACUAAACUAACUUCCUGUACCUCUGAUGGAACACAACUUGCACUUUUGAAAACAGGUAGUAUGAGCUUCACAGAACUGUUCCACAGCCCUGAUCUUAUCUCACACUGGCCUGAGUGUUGGGCAUGUGUAUCCCACUUUCU
rnacentral:lncRNA from 1 species